rnacentral:rRNA from 1 species
GAAAGCGUGGGUAGCGANCAGGAUUAGAUACCCUGGUAGUCCACGCCGUAAACGAUGAGCGCUAGGUGUUAGGCCCUUUCCGGGGCUUAGUGCCGGAGCUAACGCAAUAAGCACUCCGCCUGGGGAGUACGACCGCAAGGUUGAAACUCAAAGGAAUUGACGGGGGCCCGCACAAGCGGUGGAGCAUGUGGUUUAAUUCGAAGCAACGCGAAGAACCUUACCAGGUCUUGACAUCCCGAUGCUAUUCUUAGAGAUAGGAAGUUACUUCGGUACAUCGGAGACAGGUGGUGCAUGGUUGUCGUCAGCUCGUGUCGUGAGAUGUUGGGUUAAGUCCCGCAACGAGCGCAACCCUUAUUGUUAGUUGCCAUCAUUAAGUUGGGCACUCUAGCGAGACUGCCGGUAAUAAACCGGAGGAAGGUGGGGAUGACGUCAAAUCAUCAUGCCCCUUAUGACCUGGGCUACACACGUGCUACAAUGGUCGGUACAACGAGUUGCGAGCCGGUGACGGCAAGCUAAUCUCUGAAAGCCGAUCUCAGUUCGGAUUGGAGGCUGCAACUCGCCUCCAUGAAGUCGGAAUCGCUAGUAAUCGCGGAUCAGCACGCCGCGGUGAAUACGUUCCCGGGCCUUGUACACACCGCCCGUCACACCACGAGAGUUUGUAACACCCGAAGUCGGUGAGGUAACCUUUUAGGGNC